rnacentral:tRNA from 1 species
GGCUGCGUGGCCUAAUGGAUAAGGCGUCUGACUUUAGAUCAGAAGAUUGAGGGUUUGAGUCCCUGCGUGGUCA